rnacentral:lncRNA from 1 species
ACCAUCUUACUAACAACUGAUCGCAUAGUUACCAACUUGAUACUUUGUUCUAUUUUGUGGUUGCCAAAGUGUAAUAGUGCAACAAUGGCUUCCCUUAAGGCAAGCCAAAUCCUGUUGAUCAUAUGGGCAAGUUUCAUCGCAAUCUUGAUGCUUGGUACUCCACAUGUCAAUGCUGCUGUUCUUGACGGGGCAAUGCCAGAGCUUCGUCCAGGUAUGUGCAAAUAAGUACACUGCAAAAAAUGUACUAUUUUUUAGGGAAAUUUUAUCAUCCCCUUUAAUUAUCAUACCCAUGAUUAUAAUUUAAUAAAUUCUUGCCACAUUAUUCAAUAGCUUAAACUCUUAAAAUCAUUUAAGCGUUGAUAUUUCUUUUUAUAAAUUCAACGAUGAAUUGAUACGUAAUAGUACAGUUUCCAAAAGAUAUCACAGAACUCCCCUUUUUCUUUAAAAAAAAGCAUUUGUACUACUAUAUAUGUGUCAAUUAAUUGAGCCAGGAAAUCUGCUUUAUUUUUCAUUUAGAAAUAUUAUACACAAAAGUGGACCAAACCUCAUAACGGCUCAGUUUGAUCGAAUGAGUUUGAUUCUUACAUUUCCUCAAAUAAUCAUCAAAUUAUUUUUUCACUCAAACUACGUACAAAUGGUACAAGAUAUAUGUCAGACACCGCAUUUGUUUUCUGUACAUUGAUUUUGGUCAUAUACUAAAGGUUGUUUGUCAUUUGCCACAGGAAGAAGACUUCUCAACGAGUACAAUACCGAAGGCCGUGGUGGGUACAAUGGCGCAGGAAGCAGUGGGUAUCAUACCGAAGGCCGUGGUGGGUACAAUGGCGCAGGAAGCAGUGGGUAUCAUACCGAAAGAACAAGGCUAAAUAAGGCUCCCUAAGAGAAAAAGGCUAAAUACUGCACAAGUUAGAAGAGCAGAAACUGAUUCUGUUCUAUUAUAGAAUAAAAGUGCUAUGUCUUCUUCUUCUUUUUUUUUUUGUUCUUUUUUUGGGGUGAGAAGUGCUAUAUCUAUACAGUGUUAUGAGUUUUAUAGCAUAAGUUUCAAGGUACUAUAUAUGUUGUUGUACUACCUGUAAUAGUUUCUAAUGAUGUUUGGAUCUUGCUUCAAUAAAAGUUUAUUUUAAUUUUUAAAGUAAAUAUUCAACUAUGCAAGAAGUGAAGAUAUUCCAUCCUUGAACAAAUCCUUUUCUUUUUUCUUUUUUU